UACGUAGGGUGCAAGCGUUGUCCGGACUUAUUGGGCGUAAAGAGCUCGUAGGCGGUUUGUCGCGUCUGCUGUGAAAACUCGGGGCUUAACUCCGGGCCUGCAGUGGGUACGGGCAGACUAGAGUGCGGUAGGGGAGACUGGAAUUCCUGGUGUAGCGGUGAAAUGCGCAGAUAUCAGGAGGAACACCGGUGGCGAAGGCGGGUCUCUGGGCCGUAACUGACGCUGAGGAGCGAAAGCGUGGGGAGCGAACAGG
rnacentral:rRNA from 1 species